AACAGGAUUAGAUACCCUGGUAGUCCAUGCCGUAAACGAUGAGUGCUAAGUGUUGGAGGGUUUCCGCCCUUCAGUGCUGCAGCUAACGCAUUAAGCACUCCGCCUGGGGAGUACGACCGCAAGGUUGAAACUCAAAGGAAUUGACGGGGGCCCGCACAAGCGGUGGAGCAUGUGGUUUAAUUCGAUGCUACGCGAAGAACCUUACCAGGUCUUGACAUCUUCUGCUAACCUAAGAGAUUAGGCGUUCCCUUCGGGGACGGAAUGACAGGUGGUGCAUGGUUGUCGUCAGCUCGUGUCGUGAGAUGUUGGGUUAAGUCCCGCAACGAGCGCAACCCUUAUUGUCAGUUGCCAGCAUUUAGUUGGGCACUCUGGCGAGACUGCCGGUGACAAACCGGAGGAAGGUGGGGAUGACGUCAAAUCAUCAUGCCCCUUAUGACCUGGACUACACACGUGCUACAAUGGACGGUACAACGAGUCGCGAAACCGCGAGGUCAAGCUAAUCUCUUAAAGCCGUUCUCAGUUCGGAUUGCAGGCUGCAACUCGCCUGCAUGAAGUUGGAAUCGCUAGUAAUCGUGGAUCAGCAUGCCACGGUGAAUACGUUCCCGGGCCUUGUACACACCGCCCGUCACACCAUGAGAGUUUGUAACACCCAAAGNCGGUGAGGUAACCUUCGGGAA
rnacentral:rRNA from 1 species